rnacentral:lncRNA from 10 species
GAAGGUGGAGUGGCACAGAAGGAAACCCGAGUUCUACUUAAAAUUCAGUUAAACUGACGCCUCCAGCAGGCACGGUCUCGCUCUGUUGCCAUGCUGGAGUGCAGUGGUGCACUCAUGGCUGACUGUAGCCUUGGAUUCCUGGGCUCAAGUGAUCUUCCUGCCUCAGCCUGCCAAACAGCUGGGACUACAGAUUGCAAUGAGAAAUUAGAGUUCAACUAUUUGGGUUUUUAUUGCCUGCUCUGCUAGUGAAAGCACAUACAACCCCAGGCAAGUUAAUACCCUGUUUUCACCAAAUGAAAAAGGAACUAUGUAUGGCUCAACAUGUUCCAGAAAAAAUGAUUUUGUACUCACAGAGUGUGUAAUGUGUAUACAUAGACCCAUAUGGAAGCUACCACACUGUAUUAAAGACAAAGUAUAAAAACA